AGAUCGGAGGGGGCACACUUGUGC
rnacentral:siRNA from 1 species